rnacentral:rRNA from 1 species
UACAGAGGGCUCAAGCGUUGUUCGGAUUCAUUGGGCGUAAAGGGUGUGUAGGUGGCGCGCUAAGUCGGGUGUGAAAUUUCGGAGCUUAACUCCGAAACUGCAUUCGAUACUGGCGUGCUUGAGGACUGGAGAGGAGACUGGAAUUUACGGUGUAGCAGUGAAAUGCGUAGAUAUCGUAAGGAAGACCAGUGGCGAAGGCGGGUCUCUGGACAGUUCCUGACGCUGAGGCACGAAGGUCAGGGGAGCAAACGGG